rnacentral:sRNA from 1 species
CGGGUUGGUGUGUGAUAAUUUCAAAAAUAAUCAUCCCCUAGACAUUAAACACGCCAAACACACGUCACACUCCCUAACCUGUCAUAGUAUCAUACAACACUCUGUCUCUAAUGUCAACGGUCAUUAGAAUCAUACAACAAUAGGUCUUUAAUGUCAACAUUAAUUAGUAUCAUACAACACAAGGUCUCUAAUGUCAACAUUAAUUAGUAUCAUACAACACAAGGUCUCUAAUGUCAACAUUAAUUAGUAUCAUACAACACAAGGUCUCUAAUGUCAACAUUAAUUAGUAUCAUACAACACAAGGUCUCUAUGGUCAACAGUCAUUAGAAUCAUACAACACUAGGUCUCUUAUGUCAACAUUAAUUAGUAUCAUACAACACAAGGUCUCUAAUGUCAACAUUAAUUAGUAUCA